UACGUAGGGGGCGAGCGUUGUCCGGAAUCAUUGGGCGUAAAGCGCGUGUAGGCGGCCCGGUAAGUCCGCUGUGAAAGUCCAGGGCUCAACCCUGGGAUGCCGGUGGAUACUGUCGGGCUUGAGUCCGGAAGAGGCGAGUGGAAUUCCUGGUGUAGCGGUGAAAUGCGCAGAUAUCAGGAGGAACACCAAUGGCGAAGGCAGCUCGCUGGGACGUGACUGACGCUGAGACGCGAAAGCGUGGGGAGCAAACAGG
rnacentral:rRNA from 1 species